rnacentral:rRNA from 1 species
CCUACGGGCGGCAGCAGUGAGGAAUAUUGGUCAAUGGGCGAGAGCCUGAACCAGCCAAGUCGCGUGAAGGAUGACGGCCCUACGGGUUGUAAACUUCUUUUGUCAGGGAGCAAUUGGGUCCACGCGUGGGCUUAUCGAGAGUACCUGAAGAAAAAGCAUCGGCUAACUCCGUGCCAGCCGCCGCGGUAAUACGGAGGAUGCGAGCGUUCUCCGGAUUUAUUGGGUUUAAAGGGUUCGUAGGCGGAAUAUCAAGUCAGCGGUAAAAUGUCCGGGCUCAACCCGGGCCGGCCGUUGAAACUGGGGAUCUGGAGUGGGCGAGAAGUAUGCGGAAGGCGUGGUGUAGCGGUGAAAUGCAUAGAUAUCACGCAGAACUCCGAUUGCGAAGGCAGCAUACCGGCGCCCGACUGACGCUGAGGCACGAAAGCGUGGGGAUCGAACAGGAUUAGAUACCCUAGUAGUC